UACGGGGGGGGGCAAGCGUUGUUCGGAAUUACUGGGCGUAAAGGGCUCGUAGGUGGCCAACUAAGUCAGACGUGAAAUCCCUCGGCUUAACCGGGGAACUGCGUCUGAUACUGGAUGGCUAGAGAUUGGGAGAGGGAUGCGGAAUUCCAGGUGUAGCGGUGAAAUGCGUAGAUAUCUGGAGGAACACCGGUGGCGAAGGCGGCAUCCUGGACCGACAUUGACGCUGAGGCGCGAAAGCUAGGGGAGCAAACGGG
rnacentral:rRNA from 1 species